GACGAACGCUGGCGGCGUGCUUAACACAUGCAAGUCGAACGGAAAGGCCCUGCUUUUGUGGGGUGCUCGAGUGGCGAACGGGUGAGUAACACGUGAGUAACCUGCCCUUGACUUUGGGAUAACUUCAGGAAACUGGGGCUCAUACCGGAUAGGAGCUCCUGCUGCAUGGUGGGGGUUGGAAAGUUUCGGCGGUUGGGGAUGGACUCGCGGCUUAUCAGCUUGUUGGUGGGGUAGUGGCUUACCAAGGCUUUGACGGGUAGCCGGCCUGAGAGGGUGACCGGCCACAUUGGGACUGAGAUACGGCCCAGACUCCUACGGGCGGCAGCAGUGGGGAAUAUUGCACAAUGGGCGGAAGCCUGAUGCAGCAACGCCGCGUGCGGGAUGACGGCCUUCGGGUUGUAAACCGAUUUCGCCUGUGACGAAGCGUGAGUGACGGUAAUGGGUAAAGAAGCACCGGCUAACUACGUG
rnacentral:rRNA from 1 species